rnacentral:misc_RNA from 1 species
ACACCUCAACUCUCAUGGUUCGCCGUGAUGAGCUUGGACUUUGGGGGUCUUGCUGGCCUAUGGUCGGCUCCUCUCUAAUGGAUCAGCUUGCCAGUGUUUGGUGGCAUCACGGGUGUGAUAACUAUCUACGCUUGUGGUUUCCCACCAGGUAACCUUCAGCAAUGGAGGUUCGCUGGGGCUCAUAGAUGUCCCUCCGCAGCGAGGACAACUUUUGAAC